UACAGAGGUGGCAAGCGUUGUUCGGAAUUACUGGGCGUAAAGGGCGCGUAGGCGGCCUUCUAAGUCAGACGUGAAAUCCCCCGGCUUAACCUGGGAACUGCGUCUGAUACUGGAGGGCUUGAGUGCGGGAGAGGGAUGUGGAAUUCCAGGUGUAGCGGUGAAAUGCGUAGAUAUCUGGAGGAACACCGAUGGCGAAGGCAGAUCUCUGGGCCGUAACUGACGCUGAGGAGCGAAAGCGUGGGGAGCGAACAGG
rnacentral:rRNA from 1 species